rnacentral:rRNA from 1 species
GAUGAACGCUGGCGGCGUGCCUAAUACAUGCAAGUCGAGCGAACAGACGAGGAGCUUGCUCCUCUGACGUUAGCGGCGGACGGAUGAGUAACACGUGGAUAACCUACCUAUAAGACUGGGAUAACUUCGGGAAACCGGAGCUAAUACCGGAUAAUAUAUUGAACCGCAUGGUUCAAUAGUGAAAGACGGUUUUGCUGUCACUUAUAGAUGGAUCCGCGCCGCAUUAGCUAGUUGGUAAGGUAACGGCUUACCAAGGCAACGAUGCGUAGCCGACCUGAGAGGGUGAUCGGCCACACUGGAACUGAGACACGGUCCAGACUCCUACGGGAGGCAGCAGUAGGGAAUCUUCCGCAAUGGGCGAAAGCUUGACGGAGCAACGCCGCGUGAGUCAUGAAGGUCUUCGGAUCGUAAAACUCUGUUAUUAGGGAAGAACAAAUGUGUAAGUAACUAUGCACGUCUUGACGGUACCUAAUCAGAAAGCCACGGCUAACUACGUG